AAUAGCUCACACAUAUUUUAGACACAAAGCAAAAUAGGAGUGAACAUGUGGCAUGUGUUUAUUCUAAAACCCUGAUGCGGAAAGAUUUUCAGACCUUGGGAUUGGAACGCAAUGUGGAGGCAACAAUUCUGAAUUGCUGUUUUAAGAAAAUCGAAGACCUCAGCAAAUUGCAGGGCAUCCAAGUCUGGACGUCUAACAGCUAUGUGAAUGCAACGCUGAUUCCACCACAUUGUGC